rnacentral:rRNA from 1 species
CCUACGGGAGGCAGCAGUGGGGAAUAUUGGACAAUGGGGGGAACCCUGAUCCAGCGACGCCGCGUGAGUGAAGAAGUAUUUCGGUAUGUAAAGCUCUAUCAGCAGGGAAGAAAAUGACGGUACCUGACUAAGAAGCCCCGGCUAACUACGUGCCAGCAGCCGCGGUAAUACGUAGGGGGCAAGCGUUAUCCGGAUUUACUGGGUGUAAAGGGAGCGUAGACGGUGCAGCAAGUCUGAUGUGAAAGGUCGGGGCCCAACCCCGGGACUGCUUUGGAAACUGUGUAGCUAGAGUGCUGGAGAGGCAAGCGGAAUUCCUAGUGUAGCGGUGAAAUGCGGAGAGAUUAGGAAGAACACCAGUGGCGAAGGCGGCUUGCUGGACAGUAACUGACGUUGAGGCUCGAAAGCGUGGGGAGCAAACAGGAUUAGAUACCCGGGUAGUC